UCGACUAGAGACUUCCCUCUAAAGGCAAGAAAGUACAAAAUCCACCUAUGUAUUAUUACAUGAAAUCCCACCUGCCACCGAUGCCAACGAGGUUGGUGUUUGGUAUGCCAAAAUCUUCCCUCCAACGAACUAUAGAUUUCACCAUCAACUGCACUCAUCCAUUAAAAUUUGAUGGAAGCAGCAAACAAACGCACAUGCACCCGACAUCAAACUUUAUUAAACUUCGAGUUUCAUUUGUAAGACUACACUUUAUUACCCAGAUAAAAUAUGUAUAUGGACCACCAAAUGGUGAGGUCUCGACAAAUUACAUAAGAGCCCUACAUUUUUGGGCUACUACACAACAAAAAAACGUGCGUUUCAAGAUCGCUCAAACUCAACUUUAAUGAUCAGCUCGAGUAAGAAGUUGGCUGAUUUCGAAUCCCAGGCUAAUCUUAAACAAGCCCGGAUGGAGCCUUGGAGUAGGCGGUGAUUGUUGGAGAUGCUAGGUCCAGGACGUAAGAAUCCUCGACUGCCUUCAGAGGUGAGACGGGUUUUCGGGAACGCUCCCUGUCCUUCAUCUCAAGUGCAUGCAAAGAGAGAGAUCUCUUUCUUUUAUCCCACUCAGCAGCCCUAGCACCAUAUAGAAGAUUAAAGUACAGAACUUUCACAAACAAAAAUUAAAUGCAAACUUUAUGAUGUUCAUAUUAUAUUAUAUCAAGAACCAAUAAUGAAGGACAUCCACCCCAUUAAAAAAGAACUAUAAUGGACAUUAAUAUUAGGGACCACCCUACAAACAGAAUCUAUUGAUUCUCUGUAUACAUUUAAUAAAAGGAUAAAGAUACAAGAUUAAAAACAUAAAUAAAUAAAGCUUAAUGCUAAUCAUUUCGAGAUGAAGCUCGAAUUUCCUAAAAUAGGAUCUAAACUAGAAUAAGCUCCUUUAUCCCAUUUUUGGUAAAUCACAUUAUCCUAUAAUCUUGCAGCCUUGAAUGGGAACCAAAAGUUGCAUGGCCUGAUAAUGAACGCUUCUUAAAUAUAAUGUGCAGCAAAAAAAUAUUUUAAACCGUCACUACGGUACUGAUAUGCUGCUAAGAAAAUGUGUUCAAGCAUGUGGAUAGUAAACGUACACAGCGUACCCGAGUCCAAAUCGAGAUGUAGCAUAAUUAAUUAUGAAAAGAACCAUGGAUUUUUAUGAUACUUGAAGUAAGUGCAAAACCCAUGCCAUAUAAAUCACAGUUCAAGAAAAUCAAACUACACAUGCUUCUACCAUCUUGAUAAUCAUCAGUGUUAGCCAUCUCAGACAAAAAGGUUAUGCUAUUAGAAAGUGAUCAAGUUUAGCUAUUUAAAUUUAGUCAGCAAUGCCCCUCGGGUUCAUUUUAUCAUCAAAGACUAUCACGUGCACAAUUUUCAUAAAUCCAUAUGUAACUGUCACAGAUAUUAUAUGCUACAUUUGAACCUCACAUCACAAUUCAAAUGGAAAAUAAAGUAAAUUCCACGCAGUACUGUAGAAAAAUUUCAGGAUCUUAAUUAACACUAAGGUUCAAAAAUUAUAUAUUGAAACAACUGUAACUAAAGAAACCAAGAAGUACCUUGUAACAUGCACAAGGUCAAGUGGAAACUCAAAAAGGGAGCUUUCCUCAAAUGUUACGCGUACUAAUGAAGAAUGAAAUCUGCAAAAGAGUUUGAAGCCAUCUUCCAAAAGAAAAACAUGGAUUCAUUUGAUCAUGUGAGAUCCUAACGCAUCUGAUACUGAACGUUGUGGGUUAUUUCAGCAUGCAUAAUUAAUAGGUGGAUACGAUUUAUUUAACAAAGGAAAUGAACAAGCUUUUUAUCUGCAGAAAUAAUAACUAUAUAUGGUUGGUGAA
rnacentral:lncRNA from 1 species